rnacentral:tRNA from 1 species
GAGGGUAUAGCUUAAGUGCUAAAGCACAUGCUUAGCAUGCACAAGAUCCUGGGUUCAUUCCCCAGUACCUACU